CCAUGAGGGAAAGAUGAAAAGGACUUUGAAAAGAGAGUUAAAAGUGCCUGAACUUGCUGAAAGGAAAGCGGAUGGAACCAGUUUUGCUUGGUGAGAUUGUCGCACGCAGCAAUGAUCACCUUCUAUUCCAGCGAAAGCGGGGCGGUGGGCUGUGAUUUGUUCGGUGUGAUGUUUCUUGCCUUGUGUGUCAUCAUCAGUUUGGAGGUGGGGACAACUCUUGGGACCUGGUAGCUCGCCCCUGGGUGAGUGAAUGUGCCUUGCGGGACCCACCAACAAACAGUUCAACCUUUGUGGGGCUGCGUUGCUUCGUGUUGCGUGCUCUGGCGAGCUUCACACGCGUGGCACCUUCCUUACAAGCUAAUGGUGACGAAAUGGUUCUAUUCGACCCGUCUUGAAACACGGACCAAGGAGUCUAACAUGUGUGCGAGUUCAUGGGUGGUAAAACUUGCGUGCGCAAUGAAAGUGAUUGCUGAGACCUUAGCAUCAGCGGCCGACCAAUCAAUUGGGAGAGGUUUGAGCAUGAGCAUAUCUGUUAGGACCCGAAAGAUGGUGAACUAUGCCUGAGAAGGGUGAAGUCUGGGGAAACUCAGAU
rnacentral:rRNA from 1 species